rnacentral:rRNA from 1 species
CAGCGCCACAAGUGGUGACCAUUUUUAUUGGGCUUAAAGCGUCCGUAGCCGGUUUAGAAAGUCCUUUGUGAAAUCGUCCAGCUCAACUGGACGACGUGCAGGGGAAACUCCUAGACUUGGAACCGGGAGGGGUCGGAAGUAUUCUUGGGGGAGCGGUAAAAUGUUAUAAUCCCAAGAGGACUACCGGUGGCGAAGGCGUCCGACCAGAACGGAUUCGACGGUGAGGGACGAAAGCCAGGGGAGCGAACCGGAUUAGAUACCCGAGUAGUCC